UGCUGUAAGCCAUAUCGCCCUGCAGUUCUUGCCUGGCUUCCCACUGAUGCUAAGCAGGGUUAAGCCUGGCCAGUACCUGGAUGGGAGACCUGGGGAAAACUAAGGUUGUUGCUGGAA
rnacentral:rRNA from 1 species